GAAAAAACUAGAGGCUCUCAAGAGCCUAUGUCGCUCACCUGUAUUUACUGAUGCUUUGGAAAUCAUGUAAAAUAAGUUAAAAUCAUAAUUAAUAGUAUUAGAUAUUAGAUAUUAUAAUGAUAUCUAAGAUAAUAACAAAAAACUGCCAAAUUUUUGUAAAAUUACUAACUCAGGGUCAGCAACCCAACAACGGGUCGUCGGAUUUGUCUGAAAAUUUCAGGGCAGAUUAAUCUAAAUCUGAUGAACAUUUUUGCCACCUGUCAGAUUUGCUCUAAAUGCUUUAGUUUCAGAGAUAUAAACCAAAAACUGCAUUUUACCCCUAAUGAUUAUGGCCAAGUAUGGUUAAAUUUGCAUCAGUAGUUUCAGAGAAGAAGAUUUUUGUAAAAGAUUACAAAAAUUUACAAAAAAUUGUUAAAAAUUGAUUAUUAAGGGCAAUAACUCCUAAAGGGGUCGACUGACAAUUUUGGUCAUGACAACUUAUUUGUAGAUCUUACUUUGCUGAACAUUAUUGCUGUUUACAGUUUAUCUCUAUCUAUAAUAAUAUUCAAGAUAAUAACCAAUAAAAUGCUCCGCAGGGCGCAGCUUGAUACGACCGCAGAGGUCGAACCCUGAACAGUUGGGGCAAGUAUGGACACAACAUUCAAGCUUGAUACAGCUCUGAAUUUGGAUUGUGAUUAAAUAUUUGACACAGCAUAGGUUUCUGACACAGAAUGAAUGUGGUCUAAGAACUUAAAAAUUUUAAAUUGGACAUUCACCUAUUAU